rnacentral:ncRNA from 17 species
UAUCCUAUAGGUGAUGAAGUCCGCCAAGAUUUACAGUCUAAACCGCUUAUGCUGAUGACUUCUACAUUAAU